UAUCGGGCCCAGUGGCAGAGCCAUAUUCAAUCAAUCGAUACUCUUUAGGCGGAAUUGCUAGAUAAUAUUUUUUAUUUUAUAUAUAUUUAUUAUGCGUUUGACUCUCCCUAACUUUUCUGUAUAUUUAAUUUUUUAUAUUUUAACACUCCUCUAUGAAAACUUUGGCUACGCUCCUGAUUGAGCCCAUACCUAUUGUACCCCAAAAGGUCCAUUGUAGGUUGGGAACCAAGACCAUAAGUGGUAGUGCGGUACUGGUCCAAACUUCCAACAACUUAGACCAUACAUUUGUGAUCUCCUUUUCUUGUAGUAUUAAUUGCUGUUUGAACCAAAUAUUGAAGCUUUUACUCCCCCGAGUAAAAAUGGCUGAGAACUACGCAAUAGGCAUAACUGAAAACCUAUAAAUAGUAACUUCUGCAGAAGUUCACAAGUGGUCUCCAAUGGCUAAACUGAAGACUCUUUAUCUCUUCUCUUACAAUUCUCUUCAGUUUCUUGGAUGGUAAAUUUCUUCCCUCCAACCCCCCC
rnacentral:lncRNA from 1 species